rnacentral:rRNA from 1 species
ACAACGGUAUAGCUCAGCAGCGGCGAGUGAAGCGGCAAGAGCUCAGAUUUGAAAUCGUGCUUUGCGGCACGAGUUGUAGAUUGCAGGUUGGAGUCUGUGUGGAAGGCGGUGUCCAAGUCCCUUGGAACAGGGCGCCCAGGAGGGUGAGAGCCCCGUGGGAUGCCGGCGGAAGCAGUGAGGCCCUUCUGACGAGUCGAGUUGUUUGGGAAUGCAGCUCCAAGCGGGUGGUAAAUUCCAUCUAAGGCUAAAUACUGGCGAGAGACCGAUAGCGAACAAGUACUGUGAAGGAAAGAUGAAAAGCACUUUGAAAAGAGAGUGAAACAGCACGUGAAAUUGUUGAAAGGGAAGGGUAUUGCGCCCGACAUGGGGAUUGCGCACCGCUGCCUCUCGUGGGCGGCGCUCUGGGCUUUCCCUGGGCCAGCAUCGGUUCUUGCUGCAGGAGAAGGGGUUCUGGAACGUGGCUCUUCGGAGUGUUAUAGCCAGGGCCAGAUGCUGCGUGCGGGGACCGAGGACUGCGGCCGUGUAGGUCACGGAUGCUGGCAGAACGGCGCAACACCGCCCGUUUAAAAAAAGGGGGAAAAAAGGGACCUUUUUCCUCCGCUAUUUUUUUUUUAAAAACUUGG